CCUACGGGUGGCAGCAGUGGGGAAUAUUGGACAAUGGGGGCAACCCUGAUCCAGCCAUGCCGCGUGUGUGAAGAAGGCCCUCGGGUUGUAAAGCACUUUCAGUGAGGAAGAACGCCUGGUGGUUAAUACCCAUCAGGAAAGACAUCACUCACAGAAGAAGCACCGGCUAACUCCGUGCCAGCAGCCGCGAUAAUACGGAGGGUGCGAGCGUUAAUCGGAAUUACUGGGCGUAAAGCGCGCGUAGGUGGCUUGAUAAGCCGGUUGUGAAAGCCCCGGGCUCAACCUGGGAACGGCAUCCGGAACUGUCAAGCUAGAGUGCAGGAGAGGAAGGUAGAAUUCCCGGUGUAGCGGUGAAAUGCGUAGAGAUCGGGAGGAAUACCAGUGGCGAAGGCGGCCUUCUGGACUGACACUGACACUGAGGUGCGAAAGCGUGGGUAGCAAACAGGAUUAGAUACCCCGGUAGUC
rnacentral:rRNA from 1 species